rnacentral:lncRNA from 1 species
GUGCAUGUGCUUUACUCUUCACCUACACCUCAUAACUUUCUCCUCCCACAUUUACUCACCAUAAACCCUUCAUCUCAUUUCUUCAACUUUCAACCUUCUUGAGUGAUAUAUCCUCCCACAUUUACUCACCAUAAACCCUUCAUCUCAUUUCUUCAACUUUCAACCUUCUUGAGUGAUAUUAAAACCCAUUAAACCCCACUCAACCAUACUCUCUUAUUAACUCUCAAAACCCUAUUCUGAAAAUCCUUCUCAAUCAUCCUAGACUCUCCAUCUUCU